UGGCCCUCUACGGUGGCACCAUCACGGCCGGCCCGGAUCCGGCCGGCGGCUGGCGGGUCACCGCUUCGAUCCCGGUGGAGGCCAG
rnacentral:tRNA from 1 species